UACGUAGGGAGCAAGCGUUGUCCGGAAUCAUUGGGCGUAAAGCGCGCGUAGGCGGCCCUGUAAGUCCGCUGUGAAAGUCAAAGGCUCAACCUUUGAAAGCCGGUGGAUACUGCAGGGCUAGAGUCCGGAAGAGGCGAGUGGAAUUCCUGGUGUAGCGGGUGGAAUGCGCAGAUAUCAGGAGGAACACCAAUAGCGAAGGCAGCUCGCUGGGACGGUACUGACGCUAAGGCGCGAAAGCGUGGGGAGCGAACAGG
rnacentral:rRNA from 1 species